AGUGAACGCUGGCGGUAGGCCUAACACAUGCAAGUCGAACGGCAGCACAGUAAGAGCUUGCUCUUACGGGUGGCGAGUGGCGGACGGGUGAGGAAUACAUCGGAAUCUACUUUUUCGUGGGGGAUAACGUAGGGAAACUUACGCUAAUACCGCAUACGACCUACGGGUGAAAGCAGGGGAUCUUCGGACCUUGCGCGAUUGAAUGAGCCGAUGUCGGAUUAGCUAGUUGGCGGGGUAAAGGCCCACCAAGGCGACGAUCCGUAGCUGGUCUGAGAGGAUGAUCAGCCACACUGGAGCUGAGACACGGUCCAGACUCCUACGGGAGGCAGAAGUGGGGAAUAUUGGCCAAUGGGCGCAAGCCUGAUCCAGCCAUACCGCGUGGGUGAAGAAGGCCUUCGGGUUGUAAAGCCCUUUUGUUGGGAAAGAAAAGCAGCAGGUUAAUACCCCGCUGUUCUGACGGUACCCAAAGAAUAAGCACCGGCUAACUUCGU
rnacentral:rRNA from 1 species